GGGCCGGUGGUCUAGUGGUAUGACGCUGCCCUCACACGGCAGAGGUCGCCGGUUCAAACCCGGCCCGGCCCA
rnacentral:tRNA from 1 species